rnacentral:rRNA from 1 species
CCGCGCUGUAAACGUUGUAUGCUGGACAUUGGUGAUAUACUGUCAGUGUCUGAGGGAAACCAUUAAGCAUACCACCUGGGGAGUACGCCGGCAACGGUGAAACUCAAAGGAAUUGACGGGGGCCCGCACAAGCGGAGGAACAUGUGGUUUAAUUCGAUGAUACGCGAGGAACCUUACCCGGGAUUGAAAUGUAUAUGCUGACAGGUAGAAAUACUUGUUGUUCCCUUCGGGGACAUAUAUGUAGGUGCUGCAUGGUUGU